UACGGAGGGGGCUAGCGUUGUUCGGAAUUACUGGGCGUAAAGCGCACGUAGGCGGCUUUGUAAGUUAGAGGUGAAAGCCCGGGGCUCAACUCCGGAAUUGCCUUUAAGACUGCAUCGCUAGAAUUGUGGAGAGGUAAGUGGAAUUCCGAGUGUAGAGGUGAAAUGCGUAGAGAUCGGAAAGAACACCAACGGCGAAAGCACUCUGCUGGGCCGACACUGACACUGAGAGACGAAAGCUAGGGGAGCGAAUGGG
rnacentral:rRNA from 1 species